rnacentral:tRNA from 1 species
UAAAUUGAAGCCAAACGUUUAGGUGCUUAGCUGUUAACUAAGAGUCAGUGGGAUAAACACCCACCAAUUUAG